rnacentral:rRNA from 2 species
GCUGUGGUGAUUCAAGCGGUGGGGAAACACCUCUUCCCAUCCCGAACAGAGCCGUUAAGCCCACUAGCGCUGAUGAUACUUUCUGCUAAAAGCAGAGGGGAAAGUAGGCAAUCGCCACAGUU